rnacentral:lncRNA from 1 species
GCCCUAUACGGUAGGCACCGUUGUUCUCCCACUUGCUGGAGCAAAGUCAAAAAUCAGCGUCGUUUGGGACUUGAUUUCAUCUAAGAGACUAUCGAGAAGGUUGCUAUCAUCCAUAGGAACUCGACCACCACCCAUAGUCACUAGAAACAUUACGUGGAUAACCGUAGGAGACCCUUGGAAUUUGUCAUUGGUGACCAAGUCUUCCUU